rnacentral:misc_RNA from 1 species
UGGGCUUGACAUCUAGGGGAAAGGUCUCGUUUCUGAGACCUUUCCCCUAGAUGUCAAGCCCAGGUAAGGUUCUUCGCGUUGCGUCGAAUUAAACCACAUGCUCCACCGCUUGUGCGGGCCCCCGUCAAUUCCUUUGAGUUUCAGCCUUGCGGCCGUACUCCCCAGGCGGGGCACUUAAUGCGUUAGCGCCGGCACCCAGGGGGUCGCUCCCCCAGGCACCUAGUGCCCAUCGUUUACGGCGUGGACUAC